AACAAGGCGUACCUGCGGACCUGCGGAAGGAUCAUUACCGAGUUUACAACUCCCAAACCCCUGUGAACAUACCAAUUGUUGCCUCGGCGGAUCAGCCCGCUCCCGGUAAAACGGGACGGCCCGCCAGAGGACCCCUAAACUCUGUUUCUAUAUGUAGCUUCUGAGUAAAACCAUAAAUAAAUCAAAACUUUCAACAAUGGAUCU
rnacentral:misc_RNA from 1 species